CAUCUUCCGCCACUCAGCUGAACAACGUGCUGCCAGAGCCUGCGGGGACAGUGACGUCUGCUUCUCCUUCCUUUCUCUCCCUUCCCCGCCCCGAUCUUUCCAAAAGAAGCCUGUGUUUCUGUUGUAGUUUUUUGUUUUGCGCCGAGUCUCGCUCUGUCGCCCAGGCUGGAGUGCAGUCGCAUGAUCUCUGCUUCCUGCAACCUCCGCCUCCAGGGUUGAAGCCAUUCUCCUGCCUCAGGCUUCUGCGUAGCUGGGUUUACAGGAGCACACCACCAAGCCCUGCUAAUUUUUGUAUUUUUAGUAGAGACGGGGUUUCACCAUGUUGGCCAGGCUGAUCUCCAACUCCUGACCUCAGGUGAUCCGCCGGCCUCGGCCUCCCAAAGUGCUGGGAUUACAGGCUGAGCCAUCACGCCUGCCCAGAAGCCGGUUCUUAGCCUGUGUUGCCGAGGACCUCUUUGGCAGAUAGCUGGAGCCUGUCCACCCUUCUUCAAAUAAUGGUUUGUAAUGCGCAGACUAAAACAUGUGGGAUUACACAAGAAACUGGUUCUCUUCCCAUCAUUAUUCUUGUGAUGUAGCAUUCUACUUGAAAUUGGAAGCCGUUCAAUAUCAGAAAGAAACCAUAUUUAUGAAACUAGAGACGCUGCUCAGAUGGCUGCAAACCAGCCAUCCUUGCUUGUUUUACAAUUUCAUGAAUCUUGUAGGGUUUUUUCAAGUACAGCAAUGUACAAAUAUGUUGCCCCAGCAGAGCACACUGGACACUCAGAAUACAAUCCCAAACUCUGACAAUACUCCAGAGACUCCAAAUCUAUCAGGUGUGUGCAUGCUGUUGUGUUGA
rnacentral:lncRNA from 1 species